CUGAAUACCGGAGGGGGGUGUAGGACAUCCCAUCUCUCUGGCUACAAUGCUUAUUUGUAUGGCUUCCAAGGGGUGUUGAUGAUGAACCUCUGUUAGGAAUACAAUCCUGUCAGCCACACAGGAUUACUCAUGUGUCAAUGACUAUCUGGGAGGACGUAAAGAGGAGUAUCCUCCCACGUUGUGAAGGGUCAAAACUGAACCUGGAAUUUCACAGAAGAGCUGAGAAGAAAGUUAUCCAGACUAUGAUUUCCUAA
rnacentral:lncRNA from 1 species